GACGAACGCUGGCGGCGUGCUUAACACAUGCAAGUCGAACGAAGUGGCGGACGGGUGAGUAAUACGUGGGUAACUUGCCCUCCUUUUUGGGAUAAGCCUUUGAAACGGGGUCUAAUACCGAAUAAAGGGGGAUGGGCUAUCGGCCUGUCAGCUUGUUGGUGGGGUGAUGUCCUACCAAGGCGGUGACGGGUAGCCGGGCUGAGUGGGUGACCGGCGACAUUGGGACGGGGAGACGGCCAAGGCUCGUACGCGAGGGAGCAGUGGGGAAUAUUGCACAAUGGGCGACAGCCUGAUGCCGCGACGCUGCGUGGGGGAUGAAGGCUUUCGGGUUGUAAACCUCUGUAGCUAGCGAACCGGUAGGUGGAGAAGAAGCGCCGGCUAACUACGUGCCAGCAGCCGCGGUAAUAC
rnacentral:rRNA from 1 species